GAUGAACGCUGGCGGCGUGCCUAAUACAUGCAAGUCGAGCGAACAGACGAGGAGCUUGCUCCUCUGACGUUAGCGGCGGACGGGCGAGUAACACGUGGAUAACCUACCUAUAAGACUGGGAUAACUUCGGGAAACCGGAGCUAAUACCGGAUAAUAUAGUGAACCGCAUGGUUCAAUAGUGAAAGACGGUUUUGCUGUCACUUAUAGAUGGAUCCGCGCCGCAUUAGCUAGUUGGUAAGGUAACGGCUUACCAAGGCAACGAUGCGUAGCCGACCUGAGAGGGGGAUCCGCCACACUGGAACUGAGACACGGUCCAGACUCCUACGGGAGGCAGCAGUACGGAAUCUUCCGCAAUGGGCGAAAGCCUGACGGAGCAACGCCGCGUGAGUGAUGAAGGUCUUCGGAUCGUAAAACUCUGUUAUUAGGGAAGAACAAUUGUGUAAGUAACUAUGCACGUCUUGACGGUACCUAAUCAGAAAGCCACGGCUAACUACGUG
rnacentral:rRNA from 1 species